rnacentral:rRNA from 1 species
CCCUUGUCAGGGGGAUAGCCUCUCGAAAGAGAGAUUAAGCCCGCAUAACAUACACGAUACAGCAUAUGUAAUGGUGAUCAACAUAUUUAUAGGACCGAGGAUAGGGCAUUGCGGAACAUAUAGCUAGUUGGUAAGGUAACUGCUUACCAAGGCUACGAUGUUUAGGGGAUCUGAGAGGAUGACCCCCAACUAGGUACUGAGACACGGACCAGACUCCUACGGGAGGCAGCAGUAAGGAAUAUUGGUCAAUGGGCGGAAGCCUAGAACCAGCCAUAGCCGCGUGCAGGAAGACGGCCUACGGG